AUCUUCCAUCGCCGCAGGAGACGAUAUUUUUAAUUCUAAAUCAGAAAAAUUACGAAAUGGACAUCAAAAUUCGUACAAAAAACAUGAUGAUUAUUCAAGUCAAGAGUCCGCAGAUCAUCAUCCAAAUAUAGAACCAAAAGAAGAAUUUUCGAAAAUUCUUAAAACAAAAGGUGCAACUAAUAUGUCUGCGAAGGAUUUUAACAGCUACCCACAAUUACUUUUUAUUCUACUCAUAAUUUUAUACCAUAAUAGAAAAAGGUAUGUUUCAUGAUUCUGACCACCAUUUGAAAAGACGAAAAGAUAUCUGAAAUUCAUACAUAUGAAUUCAUCCAUUGAACUGUUUGAGAAAUAUGUUUGAGUUUAUUACUUUUAAAUAAAUUUCCGUAUAAAAACUAAACAGUUUACGAACUUAGUUAUAAGAACAAAUUAUUUCAAAAACGAAAAAAUUUCACAUUAUACUGUUAUGCAAUCAUAUCAUGAUGGGAUAACAAAAAUCCCCAAUUAUUUUUUUUAAAUAAUUUGUUAAAAAUAUAUUUAUGCAAAUGUUUUAUAAUUUUUAUACAUCAAUUGAAGUUUCCCAGCACAUCUCGAAAAAAAUAAAAUUUGAAGAAAAUUUUCGGAAAACGGCAAUAUUGCUUUAUUUUCCUGCAGCGAUCAAGGCGUAGAUCUUCAGCCUAAUUAUAUUUUUAUUGCUUUAAUGGUAAUGAUUACUCUUUAUUUUACGUCUUACGCAUAGUUUUCCACAGCCAAAGGGAGUCAUUUAAUGUACCCUCCCCUACAAUAAUGGAAGAGACAUUUUUUUUGAAUUUCCCAAGAAAUACUUAAUGGAAUAUUUUGUAACUUUAGAGGUGUUUAGUUCCCUCCAAUUUUCAUACUUAGUAAUAAGAUUUAAUGUGUUGGUUUUAUACAGUGAAACCAUUAAAAUUAUUCAAAUGUGCAUAAAACUACGUGCAGUCAGUAAAAUAACAAGCAAACAAAAAACUAUAAACUAUAAAAAAAGCUAUAAACUAUAAAAACUAUGAAAAAUAAAUAAAUAAAUAAAACUAUAACAGAGAAAAAGUAAUUAAAAGAAGCUGCAGCGUGUACUGCAAAAAUUCAUAUUUUACCUCACCGCCAAAAAUGGCAGUAACUAUACUCAAAUAGUUUUACCGUGUUGAUCAUUAUUUUAAUUUCAAAUUAAGACACAAAAAUACACUUUCACAAAAUAAAUUAGAAUUUCAUCUCUGCUGAUGUUGUGCUUUUUAAAUUAUGUCCGGUAACUGAUAUGGAAAGUAUGGUGGCAAGAUUUAGAGAACUUAACAUUAUACUUAAGUUUUGAUUACUAACGAUGUGUCUGGAAGUAAGUACAUGAAUCAAAAAUUUUUCUACCUAUUUAAAAAAAAAUCCUUCACUCAAGAAAAUCAACAACAAAAAAUC